CCGGGAGAGCAUCGACCGUCAGGUGCCGGACCUGCAGCGGACCCGCGACCUCUGCCAGUGCGCCCCGCUGCCGGACCGGGACCCCCGGGCAGAGUUCGAGCAGUUCCGGCAGCGGCUGCUGGAAGAGAAGGCUGCCGCCCGUGCCCUCAUGGCCACGCCACUGACGAAGCCCGAUGCCGCCAGAAGUGGCGGAUAGACGUGGUUGGGUGCCGGAUUGGAUCCUGGUCUUCAACAGACUUCAUCAUGCCUCGGGCUUCUGACUCUCUUCCGUACCGAUCAGUGGCAAAUUAGCGAUCAGCGGCAGCGGUGUGUCUGUCACGACUUUGUUACGAAGGCUCACGGCAGCCGCCGGGCUCGGGGACCUACCCGUCCGGUCCUGCGUUACGAUGCUGGACUCUCCGUAGUCCCACCGCAACCGCGUGUCACGCGCUCCGACCCCGGCAUAUGAUGUCAGCACAAGUGUCUUGACCAAAUGCAGCUUAGAAGCGCCGAUGUUCUGCCGGUGGACGUUGCACUUCGGACGCAGUUGGUCCGGACUGUUGCGUGACCGUCCGGUCCCAUGGGGCGUUGUAUCGCAGGCGGCAGAUAGCGAUGACCGCGGGGACAGGGGUGCCAGACCUGCGGAGACGGCUGAUCGGCCCGAGUUGAUCCUGAGCGGCGGCCGCUCGCAGUGCGCCUCAUGCAAUCGCGUCGGCGCGCGUACUUGCGGCUGGCGCCCUGAGCGUCCGCGCGGGCCAAGCUCGGACCACUGGCCACGAUGUGAUCUUUUUAAACGGAUCGUCCGCUUACAUCGUCAUGGUCGCAGAUCGCUGAUCAACCGCCAUGUGCAAUAUUGUGCGAUGUAUGUUGUCGACCGCAGUUUGUAACGAGCGGCCAUAUCAUGUUGACGUAAGAUUUCACGAUGACAGAAAGCAUUUGUGCUUUUAUCAGACGUAUCUAUUGGAUCGUGCUUUCACGACACAAACAGGGCGAACUAAUGUGAGCCGUGUAAAAAACGCAAUAAAGAGUACUUCAGAC